GCGGCUGCCCUCCCUCUGCGCUGCGGCGCUGCCUCUCCACUCCCCACCGAUGUCGCCCCACCGUCCCAGUCCCCUGUGACCGUCCGGCCGCCAGCAGAAGUAACUGCAGCUCCAUGGCCGCACCUAUAGGGCGGUGCCUACACUAGUGGCAGUCGGAGCCCGGCCGUCAUCCGCCUCCCGCCGGCCGUUUUUUUUCUUUUUCUCUAUUUUCUUAGUGUUUUUCGGUGAUUUUUCGUUCGUCGCUUUUGAUUGCGAUUUGGGGUAGAUUUCUGGGGGCAAAUCGGUGCUAGGACAUUUGUGAUGGAGUCUAGGAUGAUCCAUUAGCAAAUUCCUCAUUUGAACACACGGAUUUGAUGAUUCCCCAAAAUUUCCCCCUUUUCUAGGGUUCCACGAAUUUCUAAAAUUGGUGACGAGUUCUCAAUCUUUUGAGGUUCCUCUGCUCGGAUCUAUUUGCUUAUGAUGUGGUGAGGUAGCGGUUUGAUUCUCUUGUUGAUUCGAGGAGUUCUAUUGGUAUUCCUGGAAUUCUUGUAGAGCUGGCCGCUGCUGUUCGUGCGGUGAGUCUUGCAUCGGGUCUCUGGCGUUGUAGAGCUUUUGCUGCUGGUCUCUUCUAGCAUUUAGAAGCCCUUUCGUCCGUAUUAUAGCAGCAGCAGCCGCCUCCUAGCUUCAACUUGCAAGCUUUCUGUUCAGCAGCAGCAACUGUGCUCUUUCUUUGUUUUCAGAUCGUCAGACAGAAGCAGCUCGUAGCUACUGUUCAGAGUACAUGCCAUCUUAUUUUCCUUUAUCUCUUUCCAUCUCUCACUCAAGCUCCUUCCUGAAUUACACUGCAGGGAAUUGGGUCUACAACUGGGGUUAUGGAUCUGUAUGCUGCCUAUUUGAUUAUGCAGAAGACUAGCAGACAAAGACUCCGUGUUUGUGCAGGGAAGCAGUAGAGGCAGCAGGCCAAUAUUUUUACACUUGUUCAGCUCAGUGACAAUCAGAUGGAUCUACCAAGCAUGAUGACAGCCCCAUUGUUGGUGACAGAGAUGAUUGCAUUACUCAUUCUGAUGGACACAACCAAAUGACCACCGAAGCAAGUCCAGGAAACAAAACAAACAAGGAUCAAAGAUCUAGAGGAGAAUCUUAAGAAGCAAGAUGAGUUGAGAAGAAAGUUGAGCUGCUGCUACGUGGUCUGUUAGCUUUUGGGGGAACUAUCUUUUGCAGGAACCAAACUUUGUUGCUACAAAAUUUUGUUGGUUUGUUAGGUUGAACUUCAAAUCAAACUUUGCUGCUGCCGGUUCAUAUUCUUGAUGAAACCCAUCUUUUGUUGUUUCUGGUCAACUAUGUGGUCUUGGAAUGUUACUACUAGUUUUCAUAGAUGGAAAUGUAUGUGAUGGAAAUAUUAUUCAUGUCAAUUUCGGCCUGAAUGGGUUGUGUAUAAA